CCAUCGGAUGUGCCCAGAUGGGAUUAGCUAGUAGGUGGGGUAACGGCUCACCUAGGCGACGAUCCGUAGCUGGUCUGAGAGGAUGACCAGCCACACUGGAACUGAGACACGGUCCAGACUCCUACGGGAGGCAGCAGUGGGGAAUAUUGCACAAUGGGCGCAAGCCUGAUGCAGCCAUGCCGCGUGUAUGAAGAAGGCCUUCGGGUUGUAAAGUACUUUCAGCGGGGAGGAAGGGUCCAGGGUUAAUAACCC
rnacentral:rRNA from 1 species